GGGGACACAGGAGGUAGACGAGCUGUUCCUGGAGGAUUUCCACACCACCCCUUCCGGAAUGUUCCGCGAUUUCGACUACGAGCCCGUGGCCGCCGCCAGCCUGGCCCAGGUGCACCGAGCCACCCUCCCCGACGGGACCCCCGUGGCCGUCAAGGUGCAGUACCUGGACCUGCGCGAUCGCUUCGAGGGGGACAUGAGGACCCUGGAGCUGCUGCUGCACCUGGUGGAGUUCAUGCACCCCGACUUUGCCCUGGGCUGGGUGC